GUCGAACGAGUUCUCGUUGAUGAUCGGUGCUUGCACUGAGAUUCAACAUGGAACGAGUGGCGGACGGGUGAGUAACACGUGGGUAACCUGCCCUUAAGUGGGGGAUAACAUUUGGAAACAGAUGCUAAUACCGCAUAGAUCCAAGAACCGCAUGGUUCUUGGCUGAAAGAUGGCGUAAGCUAUCGCUUUUGGAUGGACCCGCGGCGUAUUAGCUAGUUGGUGAGGUAAUGGCUCACCAAGGCGAUGAUACGUAGCCGAACUGAGAGGUUGAUCGGCCACAUUGGGACUGAGACACGGCCCAAACUCCUACGGGAGGCAGCAGUAGGGAAUCUUCCACAAUGGACGCAAGUCUGAUGGAGCAACGCCGCGUGAGUGAAGAAGGCUUUCGGGUCGUAAAACUCUGUUGUUGGAGAAGAAUGGUCGGCAGAGUAACUGUUGUCGGCGUGACGGUAUCCAACCAGAAAGCCACGGCUAACUACGUGCCAGCAGCCGCGGUAAUACGUAGGUGGCAAGCGUUAUCCGGAUUUAUUGGGCGUAAAGCGAGCGCAGGCGGUUUUUUAAGUCUGAUGUGAAAGCCCUCGGCUUAACCGAGGAAGCGCAUCGGAAACUGGGAAACUUGAGUGCAGAAGAGGACAGUGGAACUCCAUGUGUAGCGGUGAAAUGCGUAGAUAUAUGGAAGAACACCAGUGGCGAAGGCGGCUGUCUGGUCUGUAACUGACGCUGAGGCUCGAAAGCAUGGGUAGCGAACAGGAUUAGAUACCCUGGUAGUCCAUGCCGUAAACGAUGAAUGCU
rnacentral:rRNA from 1 species